CCCCACCUCCCACCUCACAGCUCCGGAGGUUGCCAGAUCCGCCAAAUCCUCACCCAUACGUCCCUCUUGCGUCCCAUCCCGGUCUCUUCACGCGGCUCCUCGCCGCGCUACACGCGGCGGCUGCAUCAGGUGAUGUCCGGUGAAUCCCGCCAGCGUGAAGCACUGCCCGAGGUCCCUUCGCUCCGUGGAGCCCUCCUAGCCAACUAGAUCCAUCGCUCGUGGCCACCACAGCCCACCCGUGACCCAUCCCCAUGGCUAGGGAUUCGGGUGUCGAGUCUGGUGCCCGUGGCCAUGUCAUCGUCAUCCUCGUCUCAUCCGACGUGCGGGAAGGAAAGUCCAGUGGACAACCUUGCUGCAGCUCGGGAUGAAGCAGCCACGAGCUUCCUCCUCCUCCGGCUUCAGGUGAGUUGCUCUACUCCUCCCUCUGCUCUGGUUCGUGCCAAAUCAGGAGAAUUGUUGUUCUGGUGGUGUUAGGAUUUUCUACUGCUUGGGAUCAAGUGCCUGCUGGUUGAGGUCAAUUUGAUUUUGUUUUGAUCCUAAAGUGUCAAAUCAGAGGAGGACCACAUGUUGGACUGAGUCCCGAUGUGUUGAGGCUGGGAAGGUCGGCAUGGCCUCCAACCAAGGCAAUACUCCUUACUAUGUUGCUGCCUUGCAAGCAGUAGUGGCUAGAAAUCAAUCCCUAGCUGCAUAUUCUUUCUAGGUAACAUCAUUGUAGGGAGGGAUUCUGAAGCCCAUCUAUGAAGUAACCAGUGUGUUUGAGGCAAUUAGUACAAAAAACACCAGGCGGAGGUGUAGCAACGGCAGUUUGAAGCAGAUUAGGCGCCCGCGGGCGUCAAUGACGGCAAGGUUGUUGAGUGAAGGAAAUGGCGGUGUGGCGAUUUGUGUCCUAUUCUCCAUCUUUUAAGCUCAUAACAGAAGAAAGAAUGAUACAAUCGACUUUAUCACUAUUGUUUUUUAAGAAUAAAAACCUUUUUUGUACGCAUGUAUUGAUGAGUACUCCUCUUGACUCGAUUGUGUUGUAGGGAAUGAAACCAUCUAGUUGGGGUGGUCUGCAGCUCUGGUCGCCUCCAGCAGCACCACAUAAUAAAAGUUCCAAAGAGUAGUGUUGCAUUGCUGCCUCCAGCCAACCACAACAUAAUCAUUGGAUGUAUUUCUUAUGUAGAAGAUUUGAGUGAUCUGCACGCACCAACUUGUGGGGGACACCAUGGAAGGUGUACAAAAUUAGCAAUGGAUCUCUAGGCUGGUGAUGACCAAGUAAAUUCGUUUCAGUGGAUUUGGCGUUGUACGUUCAUUCCAAAGCGUGGUUAUAUCGUAUAUUGUGGUGUCUGGAUUAGUCAUCAAUGAUCACUAACACUCAUGCCGGUAUAUUUUCAGAAUCAUAACAGGGACGUACUUCUUGCUACAGUUCCAAGUUAUGAUCCUGAAUAUAAACUUGACAGUGCUGAAAUUAAAAUGCAUUUUGGGGAGUGUAAUACAACACUUGCCAAAAACUGAAGAUUUGGCAGAGUCGCAAAAACUGCAGUACUAUUGAUUGAAAAGAUAUAUGGAUGAUUAUAUGGGUGUGUAACAAGUAUACUACAAUGGUGAUGAUGAUGAUGAUCACGAUGAUGCUGAUGAUAUUCUGGUUCAUGAUGAUGGAUGCUUUCAAUUUUAGUUAAGUUGUGGGAUGUUCCUGUUGGACGAUGUUCCUCAGUUAGUUUUAAUUAACUUGUAGGGAUGUUGAUGGAUGAUUUUAGUUUAGAUUUUGCUGUCGAGAAAAUAUUAGAUUAUGCAUCACAUUUGGAUGAUGUUCCUCCUGUAAUAUCCAUUGUUGUAAUCCAACAGUUUUAUCCAAUAUAUGAUUUUUUCU